rnacentral:lncRNA from 1 species
UUUACUACUAUAACCCAAAGAAACACAUUGAAUAAGUAAUUCAUAAAUGGAAAAAAUACAUUCAAAAUAUAGAUCAUAAGGAAUAAGGUUUUGAAGUGGCUGUCCUAUAUCUAGAAUAUAUAAGAAAGCUCAGGAUUGAGAUGCAGCCCAUGCAACAAAAAAAACAUCUCUAUCUUAAACUGACAAAUAUGGAUGGGGAUUUUUGUAUUACAUUAGAUUGACGCACGUGUCCACCAAUAGACUCUGUCUCCUCCCCUUCAUCUACACUGAUUGAAAUGACAUCAAUAAGGGAGCAUAGCUUUCACCUGGAUUCACCUGGUCAGUCUAUGUCAUGGAAAGAGUUCCUAAAGUUUUGUACACGCCGUGUAUAUCAGUUGUUUAGCUGGAAUGGAAUGUUCAUAUCCUGUACACUCACAGUUUAUUAGGUACACCACCCUAUUCACGGAAAUGUAUCACUCCUACAGACAAUGAGUCACGUGGCCGUGGCUCACGAUAUAAAGCAGGCAGACAGGCAUUGAAGCAUUCCGUUACUGUUCGAUUGAACGUUAGACUGGGCAAAACCAGUGAACUAAGCGACUUUAUGCGUGGUAUGAUCGUCAGUGCCAGGUACGCCGGAUCCAGCAUCUCAGAAACGGCCUCCCCACUGGGCUUUUCACGCACGACAGUGUCUAGGGUGUGACAGAGAAUGCUGUGACAAAAAAACAUCCAGUCAGCGGCAGUCCUGUGGGAGAAAACAGCUCGUUGAUGAGGGUUUGAAGGAAAAUGGCAAGAAUUGUGUACACUAACAGGAAAAUAACAGCGCAGUACAACAGUGGUAUGCAGAUCGGCAUCUCAUAACGCACGACUCGUCAGUCCUUGUCAGCAGACGGCCACACCGGGUUCCACUACUAUCAGCUAAAAACAAGAAGAAGCGGCUCCAGUGGACACGCGAUAACCAACACUGGAAAAUUGAGGAGUGGAAAAACAUUGCCUGGUCUGACGAAUCUUGGUUCCUGAUGAGUCAUGCUGAUGGCAGAGUCAGGAUUUGGCAUAAGCAGCAUGAGUCUAUCCUGUCUGCAGUCAACGGUACAGGCUGGUGGCGGUCGUGUCAUGAGUGUCAGGAGUCUUUGAAGCGUCAUCUGAAGCCCCCUCCUGCUGUUCAAAGACCAUUCACUGGCAUUUUCUACAAGAAAUCUGCCUCCAGAAAUAAAAGCUUCUCCCAGAAUCAUCUUAACCAGAAUGGAGCGCUCACAGCUUCUCACUGCUGGCUGUCUGGCAGCACUCUGAGCCUUGACAGUUAGUGUUGGCUGGCCACCCAUGCUGUCACUGUAAGUCUUUCCCUCCAAUGGAGAGCCAGCUGGCCUGGCUGAGACUGAUUCACAUUCCACCACCAGCACACUGGAGACUGCGAGAACUCUUGGAGGACAGAGGAGAGGAGGGAAGGGCAGGGGAGGAGUAGACAGGGGAGGGGGGGAUAGGGGAUGGCAUGAGAGGAGAUCGCAGCAAACAGGGGACAGCCUGAGAACGUUCGGCAACGUUCCCAUUAGGUCCCUUUAGGUUUUCGCCGCAACAUUAUCCCACUGAGAAUGUAGCGUGAUGGUCCCAAGGGAACGUUCUCUGGGGGACCUUUGUGCAGUUCCCUGUAAGUUCCCAAGACGUCACUAAGGACCAUGUCAGGAACUUUUUGACGUUCUCAUGACUUUCAUUUUACUAGUCAUUAGGACGUUGCGUGAUGGUCCCAAAGGAUCUCUGGGGGACAUUUUUAUAGUUCCCAGGUUUGUUCCGGGACGUUUUUAAGACUUUCUUGGGACAUUGUGUCAUGGUCCCUUCAAGGUACCCUGAAUGUUCAUGGGAUAUUCUCUCAUGGUCCCCUGGAAGUUUUCUCUAAUUCCUAGUUUGUCCCCUGGACGUCACCGAGGACGUUUUUAUGACGUUCCUGGGUAGUUGUGUUAUGGUCCCCUGAAGGUCUCCUGAACCUACUUGGGACGGUGUGUCAUGGUCCCUGGAGGUUUUUGUAACGUGAUGGUCUCAUGUGUCCCAAACCAUUAUAAGUAAAUUAAUGAAAUGAUAUGGAGAUUUUAAGGUAAGUAGUAGGAUGUACAGCUAUAAAGUGUAAAAUCUUUAAUCAAUGACAAUAUAAUUACAUUUGACAUGAUCACUUAGUACUGACUUUUCAAUAUGACCACAUGUAACUCAAAACCUCUGGAUUUGGGGUACGCUGACAUUUCUGUUGCGCACAGUGUGUAGAAUUUCUGAUGUCCCCUACACAUUCAUUACUUAUAAUACAUACAGUGCAUUUGAAACUAUUGAGACCCAUUCACCUUUUCCACAGCCUUAUUCUAAAAUGGAUUGAAUGAAACAAAAUCCUCAUCAAUCUACAUACAAUAAUGACAAAGCAAAAACAUUUUUUUUUUCUGCAAAUGUAUUAAAAAUAAAUAAAAAAAUACCUUAUUUAAAUAAAUAUUCAGACCCUUUGCUAUGACUCGAAAUUGAGCUCAGGUGCAUCCUGUUUCCAUUGAUCAUCCUUGAGAUGUUUCUACAACUUGAUUGGGGUCCACCUGUGGUAAAUUGAAUUGAUUGGACAUGAUUUGGAAACACCUGUCUCUAUAAGGUCCCACAUUUGACAGUGUAUGUGUCACGUCCUGACCAUAGAAAGCUGUUAUUUUCUAUGGUAGAGUAGGUCAGGGCGUGACAGGGGGGUGUUCUAGUUUAGUUUUUCUAUGUUGUCAGGUUCUAGUUUUGUAUAUCUAUGUUGGGUUUUGUUUGGGAUGAUCUCCAAUUAGAGGCAGCUGGUCCUCCUUGUCUCUAAUUGGAGAUCAUACUUAAGUAGGGUUUUUUUCCACCUGAGUUUGUGGGAGAUUGUCUUUGAGUCAGUGUUUGUUUCACCUCUGCGUCACGGUUUGUUGUUUUGUUAUUCAGUUUAUUUAUAUGUAUUGCAUAGUUUCACAUUGAAAAUAAAAUGUGGAACGACACACACGCUGCACUUUGGUCCGCUCUUCCUACGACAGCCGUGACAGAAUCUCUCACCACCAAAGGACCAAGCAUCGUACCCAGGAGAAACAGGAAUGGACCUGGGAGGAAAUUCUGGACGGGAAAGGACCCUGGAGUCAGGCUGGGGAGUAUCGCCGUCCGAAAGAGGAGAUUGAGGCAGCGAAAGCGGACCGGCGAUAUUACGAGGCACUAUACCAACUACGAGGCAAGUGCGAGAGGCAGCCCCCAAAAUUGUUUUUGGGGGGGGCACACGGGGAGAUUGGCAGAGUCAGGGUGGAGACCUGAGCCAACUCCCCGGGCUUACUGUGGGGAGCGAGUGAUGAAGCAAAUACCGUGUUAUGCGGUGAUGCGCACUGUGUCGCCAGUGCGCAUUCACAGCCCAGUGUGAUCUGUGCCCGCACCCCGCAUUUGUCGAGCUAGGUUGAGCAUCCAGCCAGGACGGGUUAUGUCAGCUCUACACUCGAGACCUCCAGUGCGCCUCCACGGCCCAGUAUAUCCUGUGCCUGCCCCACGUGCCCGGCCUCCAGUGAGUCUAUCCAGCCUGGUACGCCCUGUGCCUGCUCCACGCACUUGCCCUGAGGUGCGUAUUACCAGUCUGGCGCCACCUGUGCCAGCCCCACGCAUCAGGCCUCCAGUGCGCAUUCCCAGUCC